rnacentral:rRNA from 1 species
AGCGUUGUUCGGAAUCAUUGGGCGUAAAGGGCGCGUAGGUGGUUCUGUAUGUCUGCCGUGAAAGGGUACAGCUUAACUGUAGCUUGUCGGUAGAAACUGCAGGACUUGAGGCUGGGAGGGGCUGGUGGAAUUCCCGGUGUAGCGGUGAAAUGCGUAGAGAUGGGGGAGAACACUCGUGGCGAAGGCGGCCAGCUAGACCAGUUCUGACACUGAGGCGCGACAGCGUGGGGAGCAAACAGG